rnacentral:piRNA from 1 species
UGAGUCAUUGGAAGAGGUCCAUAG